rnacentral:RNase_P_RNA from 1 species
AUUGCAAAUCGUUCUAUCGCUCGUAGCAAUAUGAGAGGAAAGUCCGGGCAACACAGAGCAUCCUGCUUCCUAACGGGAAGGCGCCGUUCAGCCGGUGACAGAAAGUGCCACAGAAAACAAACCGCCCCGAUUUUAUCGGGGUAAGGGUGAAAACGUGAGGUAAGAGCUCACGGCUUUCCCUGGCGACAGGGAUCGCGGUAAACCUCAGGAGUUGAAAGACCAAAUAGGUCCUGGAAAUGAAGCUGCUCGCUUCUGUAUCGUUUCGGCGGUCGCCAGGAUGGGUAGGUUGCUUGAACCUGUCAGUAAUGGCAGGGCCAGAUCAAUGAUAGAACAUGACAGAACCCGGCUUACAGCUUUGCUGCUGAA